rnacentral:rRNA from 1 species
GACGAACGCUGGCGGCGUGCCUAAUACAUGCAAGUAGAACGCACAGUUUAUACCGUAGCUUGCUACACCAUAGACUGUGAGUUGCGAACGGGUGAGUAACGCGUAGGUAACCUGCCUGGUAGCGGGGGAUAACUAUUGGAAACGAUAGCUAAUACCGCAUAAUAUUCAUUAUUGCAUGAUAAUUAAUUGAAAGGUGCAAUUGCACCACUACCAGCUGGACCUGCGUUGUAUUAGCUAGUAGGUGAGGUAACGGCUCACCUAGGCGAUGAUACAUAGCCGACCUGAGAGGGGGAUCGGCAAAACUGGGACUGAGACACGGCCCAGACUCCUACGGGAGGCAGCAGUAGGGAAUCUUCGGCAAUGGACGAAAGUCGGACCGAGCAACGCGGCGUGAGUGAAGAAGUUUUUCGGAUCGUAAAGCUCUGUUGUAAGAGAAGAACGGGUGUGAGGGUGGAAAGUACACACUGUGACGGUAUCUUACCAGAAGGGGACGGCUAACUACG